rnacentral:sRNA from 1 species
NNNUGUCCCCUUCCUCCCUAACUGCUCCAUGUGCAUCCCUCCCGAAGCUGCGCACUCGGUCGAAGAGGACGACCUUCCCUCAAUAGAGGAGGACCAGGCUUCGGUCAAGGGUAUAGGAGUAGCUGUGCUCCCCUGCUAGAACCUGCAAACAAGCUCUAAAAAUGGAGAGGUUAGAAAAAAGCAAUGAAACAUAUUUUUUGCUAUAUCAUAGUUACACAUAUUU